rnacentral:rRNA from 1 species
UACGGAGGGUGCGAGCGUUGUCCGGAAUCAUUGGGCGUAAAGGGCGUGUAGGCGGUCGGCCAAGUCUGAUGUGAAAGCCCGAGGCUCAGCCUCGGAAGUGCGUCGGAAACUAGUCGGCUGGAGCGCGAUAGAGGAGGGUGGAAUUCCUGGUGUAGCGGUGAAAUGCGUAGAUAUCAGGAGGAACACCGGCGGCGAAGGCGGCCCUCUGGAUCGUUGCUGACGCUGAUACGCGAAAGCGUGGGGAGCAAACAGG